UUCUCGUAUCCUUUUGUCAUCUGCAUUUUGCCUUCACCUUCCAUUUUGCUCGUAGAAGUUAAAAGUUGCAUAUGUUCUGGUUGGGGACUGUUCAGAUAGGGCUUGAGUAUUUAGGAAUUGAAUAAGUGUUGAACUUUGAAUUGGAAUUAGUAGCUAGAACAUAUACUCCUUGGACUCUCUCGUCGGGUAUGUAACCAUGUU
rnacentral:lncRNA from 1 species